rnacentral:rRNA from 1 species
UCCGGUUGAUCCUGGCGGAGGUUACUGCUAUCGAGGUUCGACUAAGCCAUGCGAGUCGAAUGUAGCAAUACAUGGCGUACUGCUCAGUAACACGUGGACAACCUACCCUUAGGUCGGGGAUAAACCCGGGAAACUGGGUAUAAUACCCGAUAGUCCUCGGAUGCUGGAAUGCACCGAGGUCUAAAGCUCCGGCGCCUAAGGAUGGGUCUGCGGCCUAUCAGGUAGUAGUGGGUGUAGCGUACCUACUAGCCUACGACGGGUACGGGUUGUGAGAGUAAGAGCCCGGAGAUGGAUUCUGAGACACGAAUCCAGGCCCUACGGGGUGCAGCAGGCGCGAAAACUUUACAAUGCUGGAAACAGCGAUAAGGGGACCUCGAGUGCCAGGUUACAAAUCUGGCUGUCGUGAUGCCUAAAAAGCAUUGCAUAGCAAGGGCCGGGCAAGACCGGUGCCAGCCGCCGCGGUAACACCGGCGGCUCGAGUGGUAACCGCUAUUAUUGGGUCUAAAGGGUCUGUAGCCGGCCGGAUAAGUCUUUUGGGAAAUCUGGCAGCUUAACUGUCAGGCUUUCAGAGGAUACUGUCUGGCUCGAGGCCGGGAGAGGUGAGAGGUACUUCAGGGGUAGGGGUGAAAUCUUGUAAUCCUUGAAGGACCACCAGUGGCGAAGGCGUCUCACCAGAACGGACCUGACGGCAAGGGAC